GAACAAUGAUGAUAUCUCUAAGGCUUGUUUCUCAAAACAUUCGCAGUGGCCGUCUAAGAGCUUUCGCCUUCGCCGGGCUUGAGAGCUAUUGCUGCUUUAUCCUUCCUUGGAUGUCUGAGCUC
rfam:Cucumis melo, WGS project CAJI01000000 data, contig: 21705